rnacentral:rRNA from 1 species
AUUGAACGCUGGCGGCAGGCCUAACACAUGCAAGUCGAGCGGCAGCGGAAAAGUAGCUUGCUACUUUUGCCGGCGAGCGGCGGACGGGUGAGUAAUGCCUGGGGAUCUGCCCAGUCGAGGGGGAUAACUACUGGAAACGGUAGCUAAUACCGCAUACGCCCUACGGGGGAAAGCAGGGGACCUUCGGGCCUUGCGCGAUUGGAUGAACCCAGGUGGGAUUAGCUAGUUGGUGAGGUAAUAGCUCACCAAGGCGACGAUCCCUAGCUGGUCUGAGAGGAUGAUCAGCCACACUGGAACUGAGACACGGUCCAGACUCCUACGGGAGGCAGCAGUGGGGAAUAUUGCACAAUGGGGGAAACCCUGAUGCAGCCAUGCCGCGUGUGUGAAGAAGGCCUUCGGGUUGUAAAGCACUUUCAGCGAGGAGGAAAGGUCAGUAGCUAAUAUCUGCUGGCUGUGACGUUACUCGCAGAAGGAGCACCGGCUAACUCCGUGCCAGCCGCCGCAGUAA